rnacentral:rRNA from 1 species
CCUACGGGUGGCUGCAGUGGGGAAUAUUGGACAAUGGGGGGAACCCUGAUCCAGCCAUGCCGCGUGUGUGAAGAAGGCCCUCGGGUUGUAAAGCACUUUCAGUGAGGAAGAACGCCUGGUGGUUAAUACCCAUCAGGAAAGACAUCACUCACAGAAGAAGCACCGGCUAACUCCGUGCCAGCAGCCGCGGUAAUACGGAGGGUGCGAGCGUUAAUCGGAAUUACUGGGCGUAAAGCGCGCGUAGGUGGCUUGAUAAGCCGGUUGUGAAAGCCCCGGGCUCAACCUGGGAACGGCAUCCGGAACUGUCAAGCUAGAGUGCAGGAGAGGAAGGUAGAAUUCCCGGUGUAGCGGUGAAAUGCGUAGAGAUCGGGAGGAAUACCAGUGGCGAAGGCGGCCUUCUGACUGACACUGACACUGAGGUGCGAAAGCGUGGGUAGCAAACAGGAUUAGAUACCCCGGUAGUC